CCUACGGGGGGCAGCAGUGGGGAAUAUUGGGCAAUGGGCGCAAGCCUGACCCAGCAACGCCGCGUGAAGGAAGAAGGCCCUCGGGUUGUAAACUUCUUUUGUCAGGGACGAAGAAAGUGACGGUACCUGACGCAUAAGCCACGGCUAACUACGUGCCAGCAGCCGCGGGAAUACGAAGGUGGCAAGCGUUAUCCGGAUUUACUGGGUGUAAAGGGCGUGUAGGCGGGACUGCAAGUCAGAUGUGAAAUUCCAGGGCUCAACCCUGGAACUGCAUUUGAAACUGUAGUUCUUGAGUGAGGGAGAGGCAGGCGGAAUGCCGGGUGUAGCGGUGAAAUGCGUAGAUAUACGGAGGAACACCAGUGGCGAAGGCGGCCUGCUGGACAUUAACUGACGCUGAGGCGCGAAAGCGUGGGGAGCAAACAGGAUUAGAUACCCCUGUAGUC
rnacentral:rRNA from 1 species